rnacentral:rRNA from 1 species
AUUGAACGCUGGCGGCAUGCCUUACACAUGCAAGUCGAACGGCAGCACGGGUGCUUGCACCUGGUGGCGAGUGGCGAACGGGUGAGUAAUACAUCGGAACAUGUCCUGUAGUGGGGGAUAGCCCGGCGAAAGCCGGAUUAAUACCGCAUACGAUCUACGGAUGAAAGCGGGGGACCUUCGGGCCUCGCGCUAUAGGGUUGGCCGAUGGCUGAUUAGCUAGUUGGUGGGGUAAAGGCCUACCAAGGCGACGAUCAGUAGCUGGUCUGAGAGGACGACCAGCCACACUGGGACUGAGACACGGCCCAGACUCCUACGGGAGGCAGCAGUGGGGAAUUUUGGACAAUGGGCGAAAGCCUGAUCCAGCAAUGCCGCGUGUGUGAAGAAGGCCUUCGGGUUGUAAAGCACUUUUGUCCGGAAAGAAAGCCUUGGCCCUAAUACGGUCGGGGGGAUGACGGUACCGGAAGAAUAAGCACCGGCUAACUACGUG